CCCUUAGAUGUUCUGGGCCGCACGCGUGCUACACUGAGUAAUUCAAUGGGUAAGGGAACGCUAGAGCAUUACCUAAUCUUGAAAUUUGCUCGUGAUGGGGAUCGACGGUUGCAAUUUUCCGUCGUGAACGUGGAAUACCUUGUAGGCGCAUGUCAUCAUCAUGCGCCGAAUACGUCCCUGCCCUUUGUACACACCGCCCGUCGCUCCUACCGAUUGAGUGAUCCGGUGAGGCUCUGGGACCUGGACGGAAAGAGCGUUUCGCUUGUUCUGUUUGGGAAACUUGGUCGAACCUUAUCAUUUAGAGGAAGGAGAAGUCGUAACA
rnacentral:rRNA from 1 species